rnacentral:tRNA from 1 species
GGAUUGUGGCUCAGUGGUAGUGAACUUGCCUAGCAUGCAUGAGGCUCUGGGUUCGACCCUCAGCACCA